UAUGAAUCAACAUUAUAGAUAAACACAGGAACAAAUACAUUGUUCUCACUUAAUUUGAAAAACAACUUAGAGUACAAGAAAUAACAAUACCACUUCAGAGUACAAAAAUCAAGCUAAGCUUACAUUAAACAACAAUACAACAUACAAGCAUGCCUCAAAGACCAUCUUCACUUUUGCCAGAGCUGAGCAAACAGUGUAUAAUAUACAAUACCAUAAACACACAACACAUCUUCCAUUUUGAUUUUCUUCCUUCGUUUUCCUCAUCUCUUCUUCGUACUGAUUUUUCUCUACAAUCAGCUCAGUAAAGUGCUCAUCAUCUUUCAACAUCAAAUGCAUGAUUAAUCCAUUGAUGGUGGAUUUAGCCUUGUUAGUCAUCUCUCCCUCACUCCACCAGAAAAACUGCACGCACCAUUAACAAAUCAAGAACUUGUGUCCUGGAUUAUACUCUGCCCAAGACAUCUUCAUCACAGUCCAGUUUUAUCACAAUUAAUUGGUGUAAAAUAUUUUUAAAGUUCUUGAUGUUAUAGCCCAGAGAAAGUAAUUAUAUAUACACACACACACAAUAUAACUGUUUGACACUGUUUUACUUUGUACGAGAUGAAACUACCCUAUGACCGUCUACGAGAAUUGACGGAAUUCAAUCGGGCGGCUAAAAAAAAUUGUUUGGCAAACUAAUCAUUUAAUUUUAAAAUUUGGCCAUUUUUGUGUUUAACAAAAAUAGUCAGGGGCACUAUUCUGUAAUUA
rnacentral:lncRNA from 1 species